rnacentral:misc_RNA from 1 species
GCUUUCCUCUCUGACAAAACCCACCCGGUGGUACGAGCCAAUUCGGGCUAGGCAGUCAUUCUAAGAAAAGCGAGAACGCUAAACGAGGGCAAAACAGGAAUCCAUGAUACCUCAUGCCCACAUCAGGUUCAGUAUCCAAGAUACCAAGCAAAACUCAAUGGUCCGCACCUUCGACGCAAGCAUCGAUGAUGAGGUUCAAAGAGACGGCUUCAGGGUCCAUCUCGUGCCAUGUAGAUGACACAAGACGAAAGCGACUUUGAUCAAGCGAGACAAUACCGUCAAUUAGGUAGGCAGCACAGAAACCAACAUUCCGCUUUGGCGAUACAAGCCUAAACAGACAACUGAAGGGGUAUGCAGGGUGGAAGUUGUU